GUGAGAAAUGCCAUGCCCUGAGAAUUUAUUGGGCUACAGUUUUAUAGUCAGAGGAAAAACGGAGAGGGGGAAAAGAACCUCUUUGUCUUUCUUGAGUAGACAUCAUGUUUUCAUCAUCAGCUCCUCCUCCAGGUUGGGCAGGAGAGUUUUCUUGUCCCUACAUGGUCAAGCUGAGUCCACAAAUUAUUGUUUUUUUAUGUGUGCAGAAAGCAUGUCCCGGGGAUCAUUAACUUACUGAGCUCAUUGGACAGAACGUGGGGCUCAUAUUGUUGUUGCUGUUCAGUCGCUCAGUCGUGUCCAGCUUUUUUGACUCCAUAGACUGCAGCCCACCAGGCUCCUCUGUCCAUGGAAUUCUCCAGGCAAGAAUACUAGAGUGGGUUGCCAUUUCCUUCUCCAGGGGAUCUUCCGGACCUAGAGAUGGAACCCUCACUGGCAGGAGGAUUCUUUACCGCUGAGCCACCAGGGAAACCCAUACACGAGGUGUAUAUUUAUAUUAUUAAACUUCUUUUCCCUUGUUAAUCUUUUACUGCAUAUGGGAUCUCAGCCACAGAACUUAGAAGAGUAGAGAGAAAAUUCUUUUUCCUCCCCUUUAGCAACAGAGUCUCCGUGGAAACAGAGACAGGCAGCAGGUGAUAGUAGUUCCCACCCAGAGGACAGCAAGCACAGUGAAUGUCUGAUGCCGCGGGACGGUGCUUCAACCUUGAAGAUGCCCUGAGAGUUCUGCAGCCCCAGGAGCAGACUGUGAAUCCUUACAGCCCCUCCCCCAUCACCACUCACCCUCCUGCUCCCAGGGCCAAGGAGGCCCUCACUGAAGUCUGCCAGCAGAGGAAAAAUGGUUCCUGUCACGGAGCUGACUUCAUCAUGGUCAAAUUCAGCACUUGUAGGCGUCACAGGUACGAGAGAGCAGGACGUGUUAAGUGGGGAGGGGCACAUGGAGGACAGGAGGCCG
rnacentral:lncRNA from 1 species